AUUGAACGCUGGCGGCAGGCCUAACACAUGCAAGUCGAGCGGACGAAGGGAGCUUGCUCCUGGAUUCAGCGGCGGACGGGCGAGUAAUGCCUAGGAAUCUGCCUGGUAGUGGGGGAUAACGUCCGGAAACGGGCGCUAAUACCGCAUACGUCCUGAGGGAGAAAGGGGGGGAUCUUCGGACCUCACGCUAUCAGAUGAGCCUAGGUCGGAUUAGCUAGUUGGUGGGGUAAAGGCCUACCAAGGCGACGAUCCGUAACUGGUCUGAGAGGAUGAUCAGUCACACUGGAACUGAGACACGGUCCAGACUCCUACGGGAGGCAGCAGUAGGGAAUCUUGGACAAUGGGCGAAAGCCUGAUCCAGCCAUGCCGCGUGUGUGAAGAAGGUCUUCGGAUUGUAAAGCACUUUAAGUUGGGAGGAAGGGCAGUAAGUUAAUCCCUUGCUGUUUUGACGUUACCAACAGAAUAAGCACCGGCUAACUUCGUG
rnacentral:rRNA from 1 species